rnacentral:lncRNA from 1 species
GCAGCGGCAACUGAGUGAGCUCCGCUUCCACGUGUGGGAGGUUUGUUCUUUGGCUGUUGGCAGUAAAUGUUGCUGCUGCUGACUCUUUGGGUUUGAGCCGCCUUUAUGAGCUGUAAUGUUCACCAUGAUGGUCUGCAGCUUCUCUCUUGAAGCCAGCUAGACCACGAACCCCCCAGAAGGAAGAAACUCCCGAUACGUUGGAACAUUAGAAGUAACAAACUCCGGACAUAGCAUCUUUAAGAACGGUAACAGUCACCACGAGGGUCUGCAGCUUCAUUCUUGAAGUCAGCCAGACCAAGAAACCACCAAUUGUGGACACAUCGGGAUUGGCACAUGUUGAAUGCUGUGAGACUAGAUGCCAAAGUAUGCAUGUGUUGUGAAUUAUGUUUACAAGAUGUUAUAAAUAUGGGCCGAUAAAGUUGAUAUUUAUAAUUCCUUAAAGUCACGUAUUAAAUCUGAUAUAUUUUAUCUCUUCACAAGUCAAAAUAAACUUAGAAAGUUUUGAGAAACAAAAAUAUAGACUAGAAUAUUAUAUGCAUGUAAGACUGUACAAAUCCAGUCUAAAAUGUAAUUAAUGUAUCAUUGUUUCCUCCUUGGGAAAAUUAUCCAGUAGUACUCCAACAUUAUGUCUUUUUCUGUCUAGUCCUAAUGCAGAGGAGACAGGAAAUCAGAAACAGCUUAAAACCCUUGGUGAUGUACUAGUGACAGUUGAAUUAGAAUAAAAUAUGUGUCUUUUGACUGCUUGCUAAAAAUGUAAAUGAUUUUUUAUAAUUUUUUUUGACUUCUUAGUGCCAGUGUGUUUACAUUGACCAAAUAUUUUGGUGAAAGUUUUGUAUAUUUUUUUUCAAAAUGUUAAGACAAUAAAAAUAUUUGAGUUCAACAAUGUAUUCUUAGAAAUAUAUUUCUAGUUUUAUAGUGCUUAAGUUUAUUAGAAUAUGACAAUAACAUAUGCCAAAUCAAUGCUUAAAUUGAUACUUUUUAUAAUUUUCUUGAUCUUGAGAAGUCUUAAAAAGAGGUACUAUAUUUUUCAUUAUAAUAUAUAAAGAUACCUAUUGAUUAUAAUUUCAUUUGGCUUAGGAAUUUCCCUUUGAAAGAAAGUAUCAUUUUGGAUGAAUGUAGAAUGUAUUUAAAAAUUUUAAACACCGAAGAGAUAAGUUUAUACACUUGGACUCUGUUAUUAAUAAGUUAUGGCCAUUAUCUCUUCCUUGCCAUGGGGAGAGUCCUAGUUGUUAUUAUACUGUCAUGUGUCACUUAAAGAU